CUUGCCUCUUCUUUAGUGGCCGAUGUCCAGUCCCGGAGGUGGGAGAUAAGUUUAGGCAAGCGCCCUGUUGAAGAGGUUGCUGACGCCGCUGUCGGUGGUUCCUUGGACAUCUAUUGGCGUCACUAUCUGGAGUGAGUUCUCCUAAUCCUGCCUUUGCGCGGCCUCUUCUAACGAUGACUGUCCUGGUGAGUUCCCGCGGUCCUGAAGGUCGUCUGUCUGCUACAUGUCGCUGGACUCCUCUUCCGGCUACUCAUUCUGAUAGUUUCCGUAAUAUUGAUGCAUUACUUGCUAACUAUAACAGUAUAUUAUCUAAGCUCAUUAAAUUAAUCUAUCAGUAGUUGGCUUUACCUUUCAAUAUAUUGGAGCAUUACUUGCUAACUGAAUAUUUACAUCCUUUCUUUCGCCAUCAUUGCUUGCUAACUGAAUAUUUACCUCCUUGAUUUCGUUAUCAUCGCCUGCAAACAAAAUGCAUGCGAUUAGCUUGGCCUGUGUGCUUUUACUUAUUUUACGACCAACACAACUGGCAAUAAGUUUCAGCCUAUAGUGCCACUAAUUAUUAGAAGAGAUGGUAGUUGUUUUACACAGGAUGUACACUAUGGCUACGUCGCAUGGACCAAUUCAAGGAGAAGCUGAAGGAGGGCUCAAUCUACAGGCUCAAAUCUUUCAUGGUUGUCGUUGCCCAGCCCAUAUAUAGGACACCAGAUCACCCGUACAAAAUCAGAAUUACCCAGAACACAAAAAAAAACACCGAGGUUGUACCAUAACCUGAAAACUUUUCUCUGUAUGCGUAUGACAUGAAAUCAUUUCAUGUUGUUCCGACACACACAGGAAACAGUGUUCUCCUACCAGAUGUACUUAUUGUAUUGCCUGCUCUCAUGCUUAUUCAGUUCUUUCUUUUACUGCAAUUUCAGAUAUUGUUGGAGUAGUGACGAGGUUAACUGAUCUUAACCCAGCAAAGACAAAUCAGGAACCAAGGAAGAUGAAAGACGCGGGAUGUGCAUACAUUUCAGACGGAGCAAGACCACUAUGGUGUUAACUGGGUUGUGUUCACGUGGAGUUCAGCAUGGUGUAGUUCCUCCAGGAUCUUAGCGACCUCCUUCAGUUGAGUCGGCGAGAGACUGCAGCACAGUGUCUUCACCACCGCUUUCCCCGCUACUGGCCGGCACAAAGUAGUGGCUGCUGCUGGAGCGCGGCGGCUUGAGCCUCGCAUUCCUGCACAUCACUGUCCCAGCGAUGCUCUUGUGGGCACACAUAACAGCGGUGGAAGAGCCAUGUGGCGACCUCCAGAAUUUUCCUAGAUAAACAUCUCCGCACCAUUCAUUGUGUUGAUUGCCCUCUUACGCUUUGACCUUUCUUUAAUCUAUACCCGAUUAGGUGAAGACUUAAUUUGGUACAAAUUGGUGGCAUUAGCAGGGUGAAGACUCUAUGUUGAUGCCAUCGGCAAGGUUCAGGGGAAUGGGUGACUGGAGUAUCCCAACAGCCUGCAUGGCAUCCAGUAGGUUACAUUUUCCUCAUCCUUAAGGAAUGCUUGACUAAGGUAAUCAUUAAGUUUCAUGUCGAAGUAAAAUACUUAUGCUAAUUUUGCUUCAGACUUGUGAUAUUCAUGUCCAGUUGCUUGGUUAAUUGGUUGUUUCCAAAAGCUCAAAAGGAAUUGCUAAUUGCCGUUGUAUCAUGUAGCAGAUCCUAUCUUGAUUUUAUUAUUUUUUUCCUUUUGGAUAUUAAUUAAGUUAGCUAUCCUACAACUUAAAAAUUGGUAUAUAAACAUUUGGUCCCAUGUCUUAUGUUGUGGUGAAAGAUAAUCUGGGGUAUGCCUAGAGUUGCAUUACAAAUGUGAUUAAACCUGUCUGUUGCUCACACAAUACUUGAAAAUCAUGUAGCUUGCCCGAGUGCCCACUACUUGACUCUCUCUCUCUCUCUCUGGAUGAUCAACUCAGCUUAAUUUGAUCACUAAGCUAUCCGGAUUUAGGUGCAUUUCAUUGAAAAUGUCUACGAUAAGAAUUUAUGAAGAUGGCACUGGGUAUCAGUUUUUUUGCCACAUGAAGUACCAAAGGAAAGUGAACACCUGAAUGUGCAGACUACCAUUCAGGAAAUCAUGCUUGCUCUCAAUCUAACAGAGGAAGUGUUAUUCUCAUCCUAGAGAAACAUAAUGGAAGGAUGCAUACCAGCAAUCGUAUAGAUCUGUUGAAGGAACGGCUAAAAGAAGAUUCAGCUUCCUAUCCCUUCUUAUCUUGAGAUUUUUGGUGCCUACAAAGUUUAGAGUAUUGGCCCUGAAGUGCGAGUAUUUUUAGUAGUACUUGCUGUAAGGUUCAGUGGUUAUGUAUUUUGUCUGUGCCAAUGGA